UACAAAAUCCUUUGGGAAAAUAGAACAACGUGCAAAACAUGGCUUUAAGUGAAAUGGCAAUUGAUUGUAACUGAGCUUCAAUGCAGGGUUUUCUUUCUCGUUCCUGUUGAGGAAGUGCUAGCCAGAGAGAGCUCAGAGCUCGGAGAUGAUGGAAGUACUCUGCAAUUGCCAGAAAGCACCUUGCCGCUUGACAGGUUGUGAGGAUUUGAUGCAGCCUGUGGAUCGUCUGGUGCCUCAGAUUAUCUGCCUGUCAUCUAUUUCAAAUUGAAACAAUAAUGAUGAUAGUGUACUUGGUCCAAACCAAGGAAAACAAUACCACUAUAAGUCAACUUAUGACUAAAUGGUCAUGCUUAGGUGUUUGAUUUGCUAAUAGCCCUUGGAUUUUUGUAUUUUUAUGGGUAUAAUUGGAAUCUCACAUUUUUGCCUAGAUCGCCUUAACCGUCUCAGAGAGUUCGCCAAGGACAGUGUCCGCCUGGUUAAGCGCUGCCACAAGUUCGAUUGCAAAGGUCAUGUGAAGAAGCACUAAUUUGCUAGAGGUGGAAGGCAGAUGGGUCAGAGUGAUACUUAAUGUUAAAGAGGAAUGCUUAGCAAGUAGCUUCUUAGGUCUUAUUUGAUUGGCUUGGAAUUGCGAUUAGAAUCUGAUUCCCAGCUAGCAGUUCAAUGGAUUACAUCAGAGAACAAUUCAUAUCCUCCACUUCCAAUAAAUUUAAUCAAUGAUUGCAGGUAUCUACUUACACAAAUAAGGACACAGAGACAAAUAGAUGUGCAGGUAUCCACUUCAUGACACAUAUCCCACCUUUUUUAUUACUUCUUUCUUUUGCUAUCAUAUAAGGAUGGUGCAAAUGCAUACAGCAUACCCCUAACUUUUUGUAUAUAUUUUUGUUGGUUGUAACUUGUAACUUAUUUUGGUGCAUAA